GAGCUGGGGCUCAGUGGUAGAGCGCUUGCCUCACACAUAUGAGGCACUGGGUUCAAUCUACAGCACCACA
rnacentral:tRNA from 1 species